ACGGAAGGCAGCAGUCGGGAAUAUUGCACAAUGGAGGAAACUCUGAUGCAGUGACGCCGCGUAUAGGAAGAAGGUCUUUGGAUUGUAAACUAUUGUCGACAGGGAAGAAAUUUGACAGUACCUGUGGAGGAAGCUCCGGCUAACUACGUGCCAGCAGCCGCGGUAAUACGUAGGGAGCGAGCGUUAUCCGGAUUUAUUGGGUGUAAAGGGCGCGUAGACGGUAUAGCAAGUUGGAUGUGAAAUCCCUAGGCUCAACUUAGGAACUGCAUCCAAAACUGUUUUACUUGAGUAUGGGAGAGGAAAGCGGAAUUCCUAGUGUAGCGGUGAAAUGCGUAGAUAUUAGGAGGAACACCAGUGGCGAAGGCGGCUUUCUGGACCAAAACUGACGUUGAGGCGCGAAAGUGUGGGGAGCAAACAGGAUUAGAUACCCUGGUA
rnacentral:rRNA from 1 species